ACUUAGUGGCGGACGGGUGACGUAAUGUAUGAGCAACCUGCCUUCAGUGGGGGACAACAGUUGGAAACGACUGCUAAUACCGCAUGAUGUCAAUUGGGGGCAUCCCGAAUGACCAAAGGAUUUAUUCGCUGAAAGAUGGGCUCAUAGUCUGAUUAGCUAGUUGGUGAGGUAACGGCGUCACCAAGGCUGCGAUCAGUAGCCGGACUGAGAGGUUGAACGGUCACAUUGGGACUGAGAUACGGCCCAGACUCCUACGGGAGGCAGCAGUGGGGAAUAUUGGGCAAUGGGCGAAAGCCUGACCCAGCAACGCCGCGUGAAGGAAGAAGGUCUUCGGAUUGUAAACUUCUUUUAUGAGGGACGAAGGACGUGACGGUACCUCAUGAAUAAGCCACGGCUAACUACGUG
rnacentral:rRNA from 1 species